rnacentral:rRNA from 1 species
GAUGAACGCUGGCGGCGUGCCUAAUACAUGCAAGUCGAGCGAACAGAUAAGGAGCUUGCUCCUUUGACGUUAGCGGCGGACGGGUGAGUAACACGUGGGUAACCUACCUAUAAGACUGGAAUAACUCCGGGAAACCGGGGCUAAUGCCGGAUAACAUUUAGAACCGCAUGGUUCUAAAGUGAAAGAUGGUUUUACUAUCACUUAUAGAUGGACCCGCGCCGUAUUAGCUAGUUGGUAAGGUAACGGCUUACCAAGGCAACGAUACGUAGCCGACCUGAGAGGGUGAUCGGCCACACUGGAACUGAGCCACGGUCCAGACUCCUACGGGAGGCAGCAGUAGGGAAUCUUCCGCAAUGGGCGAAAGCCUGACGGAGCAACGCCGCGUGAGUGAUGAAGGUCUUCGGAUCGUAAAACUCUGUUAUUAGGGAAGAACAAAUGUGUAAGUAACUGUGCACGUCUUGACGGUACCUAAUCAGAAAGCCACGGCUAACUACGUG